UGGGGGAAUAUUGCACAAUGGGCGAAAGCCUGAUGCAGCAACGCCGCGUGAGCGAUGAAGGCCUUCGGGUCGUAAAGCUCUGUCCUCAAGGAAGAUAAUGACGGUACUUGAGGAGGAAGCCCCGGCUAACUACGUGCC
rnacentral:rRNA from 1 species